rnacentral:rRNA from 1 species
GACGAACGCUGGCGGCGUGGAUUAGGCAUGCAAGUCGAACGGUAUCAUCCUUUCGGGGGUGAGAGAGUGGCGAACUGGUGAGUAACACGUAGGUUAUCUACCCUCAAGACGGGGACAACCCAGGGAAACUUGGGCUAAUACCGGAUGUGAGCAACUUUUAGUUGUUUGAAAGGUGGCGUAAGCUGUCGCUUGGGGAUGAGCCUGCGUCCUAUUAGUUAGUUGGUGAGGUAACGGCUCACCUAGGCAAUGAUAGGUAGGCGGCCUUAACGGGUGGUCGCCCACACUGGGAUUGAGAUACGGCCCAGACUCCUACGGGAGGCAGCAGUCGAGAAUAGUCUACAAUGGUCGGAAGACUGAUAGUGCGACGCCGCGUGAACGAUGAAUCCCUUCGGGGUGUAAAGUUCUUUUAUAUGUGAGCAGUGCUUCUUAUAUUAACAGUAUGGGGAGAGAGAUAUUAGCAUAUGAAUAAAGCAACGGCUAACUCCGUGCCAGCAGCCGCGGUAAACUCGU